GUGAUCCACUGUUCAACUGCUUCUCGCCCUGCCACGGAUGAUGCUCAUCAAACAGAAGCUUCUUUCAACUUCGGCACUAAUUCCCAGCUGGCUCUUAUUGAUGGUGAAUAUGAAGAAGCUGACACUAGUCCUGG
rnacentral:lncRNA from 14 species